rnacentral:rRNA from 1 species
CAGUCGCCGCGGUAAUACGUAGGUCCCGAGCGUUGUCCGGGUUUAUUGGGCGUAAAGGGAGCGCAGGCGGUCAGGAAAGUCUGGAGUAAAAGGCUAUGGCUCAACCAUAGUGUGCCCUGGAAACUGUCUGACUUGAGUGCAGAAGGGGAGAGUGGAAUUCCAUGUGUAGCGGUGAAAUGCGUAGAUAUAUGGAGGAACACCAGUGGCGAAAGCGGCUCUCUGGUCUGUCACUGACGCUGAGGCUCGAAAGCGUGGGUAGCGAACAGGAUUAGAUACCCCGGUAGUCCCUGUCUCUUAUACC